ACCAUGUUGUCCAAGCUGGUCUCGAACUCCAGACCUCAGAAAGGUGUGCACUUCUAAACAAAAUGGAGGCUCAUGAGCAAAACAUGCGGAGCUGCCCUGGCAAUGAAGUGAAGAGACUUGUAACUUGGUGCCUGAGCCUGUGCUAAAUGAGGGAGGGAACGGAAGGAGUUCAUUUGGAAUCAGAAGACUAAGUGAUAUGUUGUCGGAGGGACUUUGGAAUCCAGUUUAAUGGAAAAAGGAGGCCCCUGAGUCUUCAGCGUCACAAACAAUGACUGUUCCUGGACUUGUGUGACCACACAUCCCAGGCACUUAAAAUUGGGAAAUUUGGGGGAAGCAAGAUGGCCAAAUAGAACAAUCCAGCAAUUCUUCCCAUGCAGUAAUACCAAAUUUAACAACUAUCCCCACAAGAAAGCAUCUUCAUAAGAUACAAAAAUCAGGUAAGCGAUCACGUUACCUGGUUCUAACAUUAUAUCAAGGGAAGAGGCACUGAAGUGGGCAGGAAGGACAGUCUUGCAUUGCCUACACCACUCUGUCCUCAUCUUUUGACAGCUCAUGAAGAGAGAAUCUGUAUGCUUGGGUGAGGGAGAGAGACAUGAUUGUGGGAACUGGUAUUGAAACUCAGUCCUGCCCUGUCACAGUGGAACACAGCACAGGGCAGAAUUUGUCCAGUGACCAUGGAAGAAGCAUUUAAACCAGUCCCAGCCAGAGGGUACUCCUCCACUCCAGUGGCAAGAACCCGAGUUCUGCCUAGCCCCACCACCAGAAACUAAAGUGCCAUGGAGUCCUGAAUAAAUAUUAAAGGCAGUCCACAAGGACUGCAGAACUUUGGCAAGUCCUUGUGCUGCACUGGGCUCAGAGCCAGUGGACUUGGGGUGAAUGUGACCCAGUGAGACACCAGAUGGGGUGGCCAACGGAGUUCCUGUAUCACCCCUCCUCCAACCCCAGGAAGUGCAGCUCAGGGAAAGACUCCUUCUGCCUGAGGAUAGUAGAGUAAAGAGUAAAAGAGUAAAGAGGACUUUGUCUUGCAACUUGGAUGCAAGCUUAGCCACAAUAAAUAAGGCAGCAAGCACCUGAAGCCUCUGAUUCCAGGCCCUAGCUCCUUGAUGGAAUUUCUAGACACACCCUGGGACAGAAGGGAAUCCACUGCCCUAAAGAGAAAGAUCCAGUCUUGGUAGUAUUCACCACUUUCUGACUAAAGAGCCCUUAGACCUGGAAUAAACAUCAGCAGUAGCCAGGCAGUAGUCAUCACAGGCCUUAGGAAAGACUCAGUACCAUACUGGCUUCAGGAAUGACCUGGCACAGUCCCAGCUGUGGUGGACACAGGAUUGCUUGCAUCACCCUUCACCAACUCCAGUUCAACAUGGCAAGACUCCAUUUGUUUGGGGGAAACUGAGGGAUGAGGACAAGAGACUCUGCCUGGUAAUCAAGAAAGUUUCUCCAGACUUUAUCCAAGCCCACCAAGGUGAUACUUAUAUGAUUCUGCAAGAGUUGCAACAUUACUGGGCUUGGAGUGCCCACUAGUGCAGAUACAGCUGUAGUGACCAAAAACUUAGAUCACAACACUCAAUUCCUUUUGAAUACCUGGAAUGCUUCUCAAGGAGGAUGGUACAAAUAAGCCCAGACUGCAAAGAUAAGAAUAAGUACCAAACUCUUCAAAGCCCAGACAUUCUGAACAUCCACAAGCAUCAAGACCAUCCAGGACAACAUGACCUCAUCAACUGAACUAAAAUAAGGUACCAGGGACCAAUCCCAGAAGGACAGGCAUAUGUAACAUUUCAGAACAGAGGAUUCAAAAUAGCUAUUUCAAGGAAGCUCAAUAAAGUUCAAAAUAACACGGAGAAGGAAUUAAGAAUCCUAUCA
rnacentral:lncRNA from 1 species